rnacentral:rRNA from 1 species
GACGAACGCUGGCGGCGUGCUUAACACAUGCAAGUCGAACGGAAAGGCCUGCUUUCCCUUGUGGAUUGCGGGUACUCGAGUGGCGAACGGGUGAGUAACACGUGAGUGAUCUGCCCCCAACUUGGGUAUAAGCCUGGGAAACUGGGUCUAAUUCCCGAUAGGACUGCAGGGUGGUGCCUGUGGUGGAAAACGAUUUUCUAGUGGUUGGGGAUGAGCUCGCGGCCUAUCAGCUUGUUGGUGGGGUAAUGGCCUACCAAGGCGGCGACGGGUAGCCGGCCUGAGAGGGUGGACGGCCACAUUGGGACUGAGAUACGGCCCAGACUCCUACGGGAGGCAGCAGUGGGGAAUAUUGCACAAUGGGCGGAAGCCUGAUGCAGCGACGCCGCGUGGGGGAUGACGGCCUUCGGGUUGUAAACUCCUUUGGACCGCGAGGAAGCCACCUGGUUGGAAGGGUGGUGACGGUAGUGGUAGAAGAAGCACCGGCUAACUACGUG